CUCUGGAGAGAGAAAGCGGUACGGGGCCAACGCCCGGCACCAUAUUUCCACCGAAGGAUGAAGCCAUGGCGUCAAAGACUUCUUUGUUUUUGGCAACAGGGCGCACAAUCUCAGGUCAAGGGACAGAG
rnacentral:ncRNA from 2 species